rnacentral:rRNA from 1 species
UUGGCCCUACGGGACGCAGCAGUGAGGAAUAUUGGUCAAUGGCCGAGAGGCUGAACCAGCCAAGUCGCGUGAGGGAUGACGGCCCUACGGGUUGUAAACCUCUUUUGUCGGGGAGCAAGACCCGCCUCGUGCAGGCGGAGCGAGAGUACCCGAAGAAAAAGCAUCGGCUAACUCCGUGCCAGCAGCCGCGGUAAUACGGAGGAUGCGAGCGUUAUCCGGAUUUAUUGGGUUUAAAGGGUGGGCAGGCGGACCA